rnacentral:lncRNA from 1 species
UUGUUCUCAGGCCAGAAACACCAUGGGCUUUGGUCGGGUCCCAGCCUCCCAGUAGUGUCCUGGCACUAGCAGGAGCUGACCCCUGAGCCACAACCGCAGUUCUGGGUUUGGGAUUUGGUAAAACCACCUCAAGGACAGAGUCUUGGGAUCGGGUUUGCCAGGAACCAUGGUGCCUCCCAGAGAUGGUGUGUCAUUCCCACUCGCCACGAAAUGUGCACACAGGCUGUCCCCAUGUCCAUCCCAUCCCGCUGGACAGGAUGGAGGAAGUCAGGGAACAGGCAUGGUGGACAGCUGGGGUGCAGGGAGAGGCAGGUGCAUGCUGGGAGGUCAGACCCUGCGAGGGCUGUGGAGGCAUCAGGUGGAGUGGGCUCCAGGUGCACCUUCAGUGUACUGGGCACGUCUGAGGCCAGGCUCACUGGACCCUGGACGUGUGAUGUGGUCAAUCACUGGGGGAAUGUUGUCAGGUCCCAGCCACCCGCCCUGGGCAGCACUGUCUCAUCUCAGGACUGGACUUUCUGAGUCCUAAGACAAGACAGUGCUGCCAGGCCUCACAGCCUGGGAGGACCUGUUAAGUCCUCCAUCCCUAGACUAGCCUCCCAACAGCAGGGACAGUCUCUUAUCUUCACCUUCAGGGAACUGACUGAUCCAUCUCACUCUAAGCCAGUCGAGGCAGAGCUGAGGACCUGCACCAGUCUGGGAGCCAGUCCCCUCCCCAAAUGGGCCUGAGGGAAGCACCAUCCCUGUCCCAAUCUGCCACAAGUUUCAGCCUAGGAGACACAUGGGGAAGGGAGGAUGGGGCAUCCCUGCUGGCUGACACUGGAAAAGUGGGACCUGGGAGAAUGGGGAGCACAAGGCUGGCAGGGGAUGCUCCAGGCCCAUGGAGAGCUCAGGCUGCACCAUGCGGUUGCCCCUCCUGGGUGGAGUCUGUGCCCUCUACAGGAUCUGAGAAAGUCCAGUCCUGAGAUGGGACAGCGCUGCCCAGGGUAGGUAGCCGGGACCUGAGAGCAGUCCCCCAGGGAGUGACCACAUCACCUGGCUGGGGUCCAGGGAGCUUGGGGUGAUACCCACCCAGUGCACUGAGGGUGCACCUGGAGCCCAACCCACCUGACACCCUCACAGCCUUCACAGGGUCUGACGUCCCACCAUGCACCUGCCUCUCCCUGCACCGCACUGCCCACCCUCCCUGUUCCCUGGCUUUCUCCAUCCUGUGCAGCCCAUAGACUGUGACCAUCUCUCCAGCCACUCUGACCCUUUCUUCACCUUUGUCCUGUCAGAAUCUCUGAGCAACAUCUCCCAGGUCCAUCCAAACAACUGCUUUGUCUACUUUUGACCGGGCCAUUGGGCAUCACUGGGCCAUCCCAGCUGUCCAGAGGGCCCUCGAUAACGUGCAAUGCACCUGGCUUCUCCAAGCAGCGCUCAGCAGUCCCCACUGACCAGGUUCCUGCUGACCAGACCCCACACAUCAGGCCUCACUGACAAAGUCCUUACUAACAAGGCCUCACUGACCAGGACCUUAUUGACAAGGCCUCACUGACAAGGCCUCAUGGAUGAGCUCCUUACUGACAAUUCCUCACUGACCAGGUCCUUACUGACAAGGCCUCACGGACCAGGUCCUUACUGACAAGGCCUCACGGACCAGGUCCUUACUGACAAGGCCUCACAGACCAGGACCUUAUUGACAAGGCCUCACGGACCAGGACCUUAUUGACAAGGCCUCACGGACCAGGUCCUUACUGACAAGGCCCCACUGACAAGGCCUCAUGGACCAGGUCCUAACUGAGAAGACCUCACUGACCAGGACCUUAUUGACAAGGCCUCACUGACCAGGUCCUUACUGACAAGGCCCCACUGACAAGGCCUCACUGACAAGGUCCUUAUUGACAAGGCCUCAGUGACCAGGACCUUACUGACAAGGCCUCACUGGCAAGGCCUCAAGGACCAGGUCCUUACUGACAAGGCCUCACUGACUAGGUCAUUACUGACAAGGCCUCACUGAUCAGAUUCCACUGAUCAUGACCCCACUACCUGGACCCACAGAUGAGGCCCCACUGACCAGGCCUCCAGGGAACAGGCUGCCACUGAUCAGGCCCCUACUAACCAGGCCUGAGGUGACCAGAUGCCCCUGACUGGGACCCUAGUGAGUAGGCCCCACUGAACAGGCACCGACUACUCAGGUCCCCGCUGACCGGGUCACCCCGUAGACCAGUGGUACAAAAGCCACCACUGACCAAGUCAUCACUGACCAGGCCCCCACUGAUGAGGUUCCACUGACCAGGCUGCCCUGAUCAGGGCCCCACUGACAAGGGACUCACUGAUGAGGACACGCCCACCAGGCCCUGCUGACUAGGUCCCAUGUGACCAGUCCUCCACUGAAUAGCACCCCUUGACCUGGUCACCAGUGACCCAGCCCAUGCUGACCAGGCCACCACUAAGCCCAGCUGACCAGGUCGCCACCGGUCAAGCCCCACAGCCUAGGUCUGCACUGACCAGACACCAAGCAACUGGCUGCCAGUAGGUCCCCACUUGCCAAAACCCCCACUACUGGAUCCCCCUAAUGAGACCCUCCCUAAGCAGACCCCUGCUGGCCAGGUUCCCACUAAACAGGCCUCACUGACCAAGUCCCAACUGACUAGGUCCACUGAGCAGGCCCACACUGAUCAGGCAGGCCCCUCCUAACCACAUCAGAAGGCCAAGUGGCAAUGAGAUGUUUCAUAUGGCAGAAAUAGAAGCAAGACACAGAGAGAAAAGAGGUGCCACAGCCCAUUAUACAACCAGAUCACAUGAGAACUCACUAUCAGAUCAGCAUCAAGAAGAUUAACCACUGGUGAAGGAUCCACCACACACACCACCGCCUACUGUUUCCAGGCAGAAGCCUCCUGCAGAGGCAGAGCCUCUUGGGAAACUUCUACUAUGGCAGUGCAGAAGGGAAAUAUGGGCUUGGAGCCCCCACACAGGAGGCCACCAUCCUCCAGACCCCAGAUUCAUAAGCCCACCAACAGCCCGCACCCUCAGUAUGCAAAAGCACUCAACACCAGCCCAGCCCAUGAGAGCAGCCAUGGGGGCUAAAGCCUGCAAAGCCACAGGAGCACUGCCCUAGCAGAGGUUUUCCAUGAGGAUGUGACUCUGCAGCAGGCUACUCCCCCUUCCUAAUACCCACCAUCCUCUCACCACCCUACUGACAACCCACUCCUCCCAACACUAUCCACUUUAUUUCCUUCCAACUCCAACCCCCUCCCAUCCAUGGUUAAAUCACCUUCCACCAGGCCCCAUCUCCAACAUUCAAGAUUACAAUUCACAUGAGUUUCUGUAGGGAAACACAGCCAAACCAUGUUAUUCUUACCCUGACCCUUCCGAAUCUCAUGUCCUUCUCACAGAGCAAAAUACAAUCACACCUUUUCAAAAGUUGCCAAAAGUCUUAACUCAUUCCAGCAUUAACUCAAAUGUAAAAGGUUCAACGUCUCAUCUGAGACAAGCCUACAGUCCCUUUUGCCUAUAAGUCCCUGAAUUUAAAAGGGUGUUCUUUUAAGACACAAUGAUGGUACACCCAUUGGGUAAGCUUUCUCAGUCCAACAGGAAGAAAUUUCCGAGCAAAAUAACACAGAUGGGACCACAGGACCAAUGCAAGUCCAAAACCCAGGAGACCAGUAUCCAUUCAAUCUCACUGCUCCAAAAUCAUGAAGAGAACUCACCAUCACAAGGACAGAAAUAAAGAGAUUGUGUCUAAUCAUUUGUGAAGGAGCCACCAUCACUUUUCACCCCUCACCCCCAACAUAAUCUCCCAAUUCUCCCUAUCCCCCACCUCCCAACCCCCACACUCCACCAUGAUUAAAUCACUUUCCACCAGGCCCCACCUUUAACAUUCCCCAUUACAAUUCCACACGAAUUUUGGUAGGGACACAGAGCUAAAUUUUAUUAUUCUGUCCCUGGCUCCCCAAAUCUCAUGUCCUUCUCACAUUGCAAACUACAAUGAUAGCUUCCCUACAGUCCCCCAAAGUCUUAUAUCAUUUCAUCAUUUAUACAAAUGUUCAAAGCUUAAAGUCUCAUCUAACACAAGGCUGCAGACCCUUAGGCUCAUGAGCCUCUGAAAUAUAAAGAAAGUUAACUACUUCCAAGGUACAAUGCUUAUACAGGCAAUGGGUAAGCAUUCCCAGCCAAAAGGAAUAAUUUUGCCAGAAAGAACAAAAGACAGAAAGGACUUACAGACCCCAUGAAACUCCAAACCCAGAAGGCCAUUCAAUCCUACAGCUCCAAAAUUACCCUUUUUGAAACCUUGUCCCACAUCCAGGGCACAGGGAUGUAAGGGCUGGGCUCCCAAGGCCUUGGGCAGCUCUGCACCUGUGGCUUUGCAGGGUUUAUGCCCCACGGCUGUCUUCAUGGGCUGGGCUGGUGUUGAGCACCUGUAGCUUUUACCCACUGACGGUACAAGCUGUUGCGGGGUCUAUUAAUCUGCAGUCUUCAUGAUGGUGGCCUCCAGUGUGGGGGCUCCAACCCCAUAUUUUCCUUCUGUACUGCCCUAGUAGAGGUUUCUUAUGAGGUUCUGCCUUUUAGGAAGGCUUUCGCCUGGACACCCAGACAUUUCCAUACAUCCUCCAAAAUCUAUAAAGAGCCUCCCAAGCCCCUAGGCUCAUGCUCCAUACAACCAGUGGCUUAACACUAUGAGGAAGUUCAUGAGAACUCACUAUCACGAGGUCAGCAUCAAGAAGAUGGUGCUUAAUCAUUAGUGAAGGAUCCGUCCCCAACCCACCUCCACCCCCUCCUGUUUCCGGACAGAAGCCUGAGGCAGAGCCUGAGCCUCUUGGAAAACCUGUACUAUGGCAGUGCAGAAAAAAAUAUGGGCUUGGAGCCCCUAUGCAGGAGGCCACCAUCCUCCAGAGCCCAGAUUCAUAGACCCAUCAACAGCUCGCACCUUCAGUAUGGAAAAGCUACCGGCACUCAACACCAGCCCAGCCCAUGAGAGCAGCCACGGGGGCUACACCCUGCAAAGCCACAGGUGCACAGUCCUAGCAGAGGUUUU